rnacentral:rRNA from 1 species
GAGUUUGAUCCUGGCUCAGGAUGAACGCUGGCGGCGUGCUUAACACAUGCAAGUCGAGCGAUGAAGUUUCCUUCGGGAAACGGAUUAGCGGCGGACGGGUGAGUAACACGUGGGUAACCUGCCUCAUAGAGUGGAAUAGCCUUCCGAAAGGAAGAUUAAUACCGCAUAACGUUGAAAGAUGGCAUCAUCAUUCAACCAAAGGAGUAAUCCGCUAUGAGAUGGACCCGCGGCGCAUUAGCUAGUUGGUGGGGUAACGGCCUACCAAGGCGACGAUGCGUAGCCGACCUGAGAGGGUGAUCGGCCACAUUGGGACUGAGACACGGCCCAGACUCCUACGGGAGGCAGCAGUGGGGAAUAUUGCACAAUGGGGGAAACCCUGAUGCAGCAACGCCGCGUGAGUGAUGAAGGUUUUCGGAUCGUAAAGCUCUGUCUUUGGGGAAGAUAAUGACGGUACCCAAGGAGGAAGCCACGGCUAACUACGUGCCAGCAGCCGCGGUAAUACGUAGGUGGCGAGCGUUAUCCGGAUUUACUGGGCGUAAAGGGAGCGUAGGCGGAUGAUUAAGUGGGAUGUGAAAUACCCGGGCUCAACUUGGGUGCUGCAUUCCAAACUGGUUAUCUAGAGUGCAGGAGAGGAGAGUGGAAUUCCUAGUGUAGCGGUGAAAUGCGUAGA